GGAGCAACCGACGCAGACUACGUGAAGAACUCCUUUGUGCCAUCCAGCGCGAUUUGAACUCCUUUGUGCCGUUUGCACUUGGGAUGGGUCUCAUAUCAACCGACUUGUUUGAGGAUGUCAGUGCUGCUUGCCACGGCACAUUCUGGGGAAAAGUUAAUGAUGUGUGCCAAGAAAAUAUAGAUAGAGUCCGUUGGGAACUGAAAGACCUGAACACGUACAACAUUCUUGCACCAUGCUACCACCACCCUGAAGUCCAAGAGAUAGCGUUCGUGAACAGCAGCUUGCCAUCAAGCUUCAGAAAGCUAGGUGAAACAAAGAGGCCUUUCCCAGUGAGGAAGAGGAUGGCGGGGCUUUCAUGGCCUCUCGGUCUUCCUGUGAGCAGCGGACAUGUCACGUUGUGACCCGAGCUUGGUGGUAGAUCACUUCCAUGCACGAGUGAUGAACUUGCUACUAUAUGGCUGGAUGAUGAAGAUGUAAGAGGUGCCAUUCACGCCAAACCGAAAAGCUUAAUUGGAUCAUGGGAAUUGAAUACUGCAAGAAUAGACUACACUCAUGAUACAGGCAGCAUGGUGGAUUAUCACAAAAAAUUCACAGGCAUGGGAUAUCGCGUACUUAUUUACAGUGGAGAUCAUGAUCUGUGUAUCCCUUUCACUGGAACGGAGGCAUGGGUCAGAUCAUUAGGCUACCGAGUUGUCGAUUCAUGGCAACCAUGGCACUU